rnacentral:other from 1 species
AGUUAGCUGAGAUACUCGCUUUCUUAAUUAGUCACUUUUUUUCUUAACAACACACAUUAAGGGAGUCUUAUAUCCUCCACUGCUGUGGCGGUGAAAUGCGGACACCCACCUGGAAUAAACGGGGAAAUAAUGUGGAAUUAAGGGCGGUAUUUUGGCCUGCAA